rnacentral:rRNA from 1 species
UACGAAGGGGGCUAGCGUUGCUCGGAAUCACUGGGCGUAAAGCGCACGUAGGCGGAUUCCUAAGUCGGGGGUGAAAUCCUGGAGCUCAACUCCAGAACUGCCUUCGAUACUGGGAAUCUUGAGUCCGGAAGAGGUGAGUGGAACUGCGAGUGUAGAGGUGAAAUUCGUAGAUAUUCGCAAGAACACCGGUGGCGAAGGCGGCUCACUGGCCCGUAACUGACGCUGAGGCACGAAAGCGUGGGGAGCAAACAGG